UACAGAGGUCUCAAGCGUUGUUCGGAAUUACUGGGCGUAAAGGGCUCGUAGGCGGCCAACUAAGUCGGACGUGAAAUCCCCAGGCUCAACCUGGGAACUGCGUCCGAUACUGGAUGGCUUGAAUCCGGGAGAGGGAUGCAGAAUUCCAGGUGUAGCGGUGGAAUGCGUAGAGAUCCGGAAGAACACCGGUGGCGAAGGCGGUUAGCUGGGCAGUUGCUGACACUGAGGCGCGACAGCGUGGGGAGCAAACAGG
rnacentral:rRNA from 1 species